rnacentral:rRNA from 1 species
UACAGAGGUCUCAAGCGUUGUUCGGAUUCAUUGGGCGUAAAGGGCGCGUAGGCGGCAAGGCAAGUCGGGUGUGAAAGCUUGGGGCUUAACCCCGAAAGGGCACUCGAAACUGCGUUGCUAGAGGGCCGGAGAGGAGAUCGGAAUUCACGGUGUAGCAGUGAAAUGCGUAGAGCUCGUGAGGAAGACCGGUGGCGAAGGCGGAUCUCUGGACGGCCCCUGACGCUGAGGCGCGAAGGCCAGGGGAGCAAACGGG